GUUAAGUCUGCCGCCUGGGAAGUACGUACGCAAGUAUGAAACUUAAAGGAAUUGGCGGGGGAGCACCACAAGGGGUGAANNNNNNGGUUCAAUUGGAGUCAACGCCAGAAAUCUUACCUGGGGAGACAGCAGAAUGAAGGUCAAGCUGAAGACUUUACCAGACACGCUGAGAGGUGGUGCAUGGCCGUCGCCAGCUCGUGCCGUGAGAUGUCCUGUUAAGUCAGGUAACGAGCGAGACCCCUGCGUCUAGUUGCUACCAUUACUCUCUGGAGCAGUGGAGCGAAUUAGACGGACCGCCACAGUUAAUGUGGAGGAAGGAAGGGGCCACGGCAGGUCAGUAUGCCCCGAA
rnacentral:rRNA from 1 species